AAAACACCAUUCUUUCUUUUUCUUUUUCUUUUUCUUUUUCUUUUCUUUUUUCCUUUCUUCUUCCCCGAAAUACACACACACACACGCAGCUUUUCUUUCUUCUCUCCCGACCGUCCCUCUCUCUCCUGUGUUUCAAAUUCCGGCCACCCAUAGCCCUCACGCGCCAGCCACCAAGGAAGCCCGCCACCUCGCGAGCUUGGCCGCCAAGUUUCACGGCCAGCCGCCGCCGGACGCGCGCCGAUCGGGCCGGAGAAGCCGCCGGCCGGCCAAGUUUCUCUCUCCUCUUUUCUUGUGUUUUCCGACCAGCCCACUCCCAAUUGAGCCUCCUAUCCCCCUAUUUUGGGUCCUCUGAAUCCAAAAAUGGCCUCCAAUCCCAGAAAUUUGAAGCGGUUUGUGAGAUAUGGGGAAGUGAACACCGGCCGAAACUUUCCGACCAAAUUCCGGCCACCUCCGGCGGAAUUGGGGUCGAUGGAGAUCGGAUUUGUGAUCCUCGUUCCACGAGCUUCGAUUCGGAGCACCGGUGAGUCGUAGAAUUGAUCCCGUGGUGGAUCAUGGGUUAAUUUCGUGCUCCAGGUCCAGGUUGGAGACGUUGAUUGUCCGGGGCGAGCCCAACGUCUCAGUUCGUUGCCGAAGGUUCAAGAAGUUUUUCUUCCCUUUUUCCUCUCUAUCCUGUAUUGCUUCUUUAUCUGUUAUUUUUAUAAAUUCCACAUUUGUCGUAUAAUGCUCUGUAUACUGUAUUGGACGUGUCGUUGUUUUUAUGCACUGGGUUGCUGCUGUUGUUUUAUUUUUGAAGUGCUGAAAUUUGUGGAACAAUUUGUAGUUUGUGGGAGGAAUAAGGGGAUGCUUUUUUUAGAAGUGUGUUUUCAGUGCAGGUAGUUUGUGGUAAGUAAAUCCCUUAGGGGAGGCUCUGCCGGAUUUUCCGUUGGAGAGUUCAGUAGGGUUUCCCUGGGAUCAGGGCUGUCUAGGGUUCCGGGGAAGGAAUUCUGGACGGGUCCUGACAGUUGGUAUCAGAGCUCUAGGUUCUAGUAUUCCUAAGGGACUGUGCAUUGUUGUGCAUCCCAUCCGUGUCUAAUCUCUCGUUUUAUCCGUCUUAAAGCGUUCUUUCCGUUUGUCUCGAAGCAAAUUCGUUGCCCGAGUUUGAAUAACUCUAAUCUUCGGGGGUGUCAAAAUAUUUUUCCGAUCGAUUAUGAAAAUUAAAUACUUUUCAACGUGGUAUUUGAAAUUAAAGGUGUUUUAUUCAAGUAUUUUUUGUUUAUGUUCGUAUAUGUAUUUGUAUGUUAUAUUGUUUGAUAUUAUAUUGCACCAUACGGAGGCGGCGAACCAUUGUGGUCCAUGUAGAGCUAGCCCCAUGAUCAUGUUGCCUACGAGUCCAGGGGAUUGGACGGCCAAUAUAGGCAACCACCCUGGUUUGUAUUGGUAGCAGAGUGUCGGCGACAAUUGGAAUCAUGGAUUACAUAGCAUGUAGAAGGGGUCGUACGUACCUCCAUUACCAGCGUGCAUAUAUGUUUUAUGUUAUGGUUUUUCCAAGACUGACUUCAGCGACGUAAGAAAUUUCGAGGACGAAAUUUUUGUAAGGGGGGAAGGUUGUAACACCCCGUCCCGAACCAUGUCGGAAAUUUUUGCACGUUAACCGAGGUUGACUGUUGACCGUUGACCAAAGGGGUCAAAAGUUGACUUUUUGAUCCGGUUGGAAUUCUAGGUUGACUGAGGUACUGUUACGAAGUACACGUUGGCACGAGUUUGUAGACUGGUAGCACGUUGAAAACGGAGCUACGGUUUGAAAGUUAUGAGCAAAACAAGUUGAGGUCCAAACUGUCCAAGAGGGGCCGGAGUUGAUUUUUUAUUCAUGCAAGGUUGAGUGUUGACUCAUGCAUGGUUGUGAAGUGCUCGUCGAUACGAGUCCGUAGACUAGCGGCACGUCCGAUUUGGACAUGUGGUUUGAAAGUUAUGGACCUGUAAAGUUUUUCAAAUACUGUAUUAUUUUAUUAUUAUUUUUACACGCAUAACGAUGUACCACGUGUGACUCAAUGAAGGUGACCAUGUGUCAACAUGGUGAAAUGACACAUGUCAACCAUGUGUAAAAAAAAAAAAAAAAAAAUCAAAUUAUUUUAUUAUUAUUUUAAAUAAUAAUAUUAUUAUUAUUAUUAUUUAAUUAUUUCUUUUUUUAUUAUUUCUUUUUCCUUUUCCUUUUUCUUUUUCUUUUCCUUUUUCUUUUCUUUUUCUUUUUCUUUUUCUUUCCCCACGUGGGAAAACACCAUUCUUUCUUUUUCUUUUUCUUUUUCUUUUUCUUUUCUUUUUUCCUUUCUUCUUCCCCGAAAUACACACACACACACGCAGCUUUUCUUUCUUCUCUCCCGACCGUCCCUCUCUCUCCUGUGUUUCAAAUUCCGGCCACCCAUAGCCCUCACGCGCCAGCCACCAAGGAAGCCCGCCACCUCGCGAGCUUGGCCGCCAAGUUUCACGGCCAGCCGCCGCCGGACGCGCGCCGAUCGGGCCGGAGAAGCCGCCGGCCGGCCAAGUUUCUCUCUCCUCUUUUCUUGUGUUUUCCGACCAGCCCACUCCCAAUUGAGCCUCCUAUCCCCCUAUUUUGGGUCCUCUGAAUCCAAAAAUGGCCUCCAAUCCCAGAAAUUUGAAGCGGUUUGUGAGAUAUGGGGAAGUGAACACCGGCCGAAACUUUCCGACCAAAUUCCGGCCACCUCCGGCGGAAUUGGGGUCGAUGGAGAUCGGAUUUGUGAUCCUCGUUCCACGAGCUUCGAUUCGGAGCACCGGUGAGUCGUAGAAUUGAUCCCGUGGUGGAUCAUGGGUUAAUUUCGUGCUCCAGGUCCAGGUUGGAGACGUUGAUUGUCCGGGGCGAGCCCAACGUCUCAGUUCGUUGCCGAAGGUUCAAGAAGUUUUUCUUCCCUUUUUCCUCUCUAUCCUGUAUUGCUUCUUUAUCUGUUAUUUUUAUAAAUUCCACAUUUGUCGUAUAAUGCUCUGUAUACUGUAUUGGACGUGUCGUUGUUUUUAUGCACUGGGUUGCUGCUGUUGUUUUA